rnacentral:rRNA from 1 species
GACGAACGCUGGCGGCGUGCCUAAUACAUGCAAGUCGAACGCAGUGGGGACGGGUGAGUAACACGUGGGUAACCUCCCAUCCAAUGGGAUAACACUUGGAAACAGGUGCUCAACCGAUACUGGUUGAUGGACCCUCGGUGCAUUAGCUAGUUGGUGAGGUAACGGCUCACCAAGGCCAAGAGGAAUAGCCGACCGAAGAGGGGGUGCGGCAAAACGGGGACUGGGACACGGCCCAGACUCCUACGGGAGGCAGAAGUAGGGAAGCUUCGGCAAGGGACGAAAGUCUGACCGAGAAACGCCGCGUGAGUGAAGAAGGUUUUCGGAUCGUAAAACGCUGUGGUUAGAGAAGCGGUAUCUAACCAGAAAGCCACGGCUAACUACGUGCCAGUAGCCGCGGUAAUUC